ensembl:lncRNA
UUACAUAGUCCCAAAGCACUGAGCCUACAACACUUCACAUAUAGAACUCAAUAAAUACGCAAUACAUAAUUGAUAAAGAAUUAAUGAAAACAGAUCCAAGAGCCCAGAAAGCAUUUCUUGGCUGUGCAGCUUGCUUGAUUUUGGCUUGCCAUUUGGCUUGGCAGGGCAGAGAGUAUUUUCAGACUUGCCUAAAGUGGGAGUCGUUAUGUACCUGAUGUCAUUAAACCCACAGCCCCAUCUGCCCCAGAGUCCCUUCCAUUUCUGAGCAAGUCUGUUGGGCUGAAAGCAAAAGUCUUCAUAAUAGGACUCGACAUUUUAAUAGCCCCUGGAGAAAUAAAACCACUUCUUGAAGGUUAUUUUUUUUCUUCUGAAUAAAAGUGGCCUAUGCAUAGAACAGCUAGAAAAUGCAUAGUAAUUAGAAAAACAUUAUUCUGUUCUGCUGAAAUUAUGAUACUGAUAAGUGACAUUUAUUGAAUUUUAAUCAGAUGCCACAUCAUCAGAUGGAUUAUCUCAUUUAAGCUUCGCAGUGACUACGUUGUAGGAAUCAUUAUUACCUCCAUUUUACAGUGAGGAAACCAAGAGAGAGAUGGCAAGGAAGCUGCUGAAGGUGACACAACCAGCAAGUGAUGGAAGACAUACCUUGGCCAUGGCCAGAGCUUUCUCCCUGGACGUAAACAUUUGAGGAUUUCAAAACAAGGUGGUUUUUCUAUUCUGCACUCUCAACCUGUGAUCUCCAAGAUGUCUCUGAACAUGAAAAUGGAUAGGAGUUUUCACGGUCACUGUGCAACCUCUGUUCAGUUAGCCUUGAACUUAAAUUUCUUUUCUCUCUCUUUUUCUCAAUUUUAUUAAAAAAGAAAAGAAACUUGCUUUUCACCAGCUGUCAUCAGUGGUUGCUAGAGGGGGUUUCUCAGUGCUCAGGGAAAACAGGUCCCUCUGACCUUCUGCCAGGGAUGCUCCGUGCCUGACUCAGGCGUCAGCAGCAGUCAAGGCCCCAGCAGCAAGGGUGCCUGUUGUCAGCAGCGCUGCCCCAGCACUGCAGGGGCUCUCGGCUUUCCGGUUGUAUUGCUCUGCCAAACGCUUGAAGUACAAGGUCCUGUAUGCCACUUUCACUCACCAGGAUAGGUGCCAGAAGGCCCAUUAGUAAGCACUCUUUCCCAACAAGGGAGGCUGAGAGGCAGCUGCUAGUGAAGCCAGGGGCUGGAGAGCAGAGAGGGAGAGGGCUGCGGUGGAGGAGGGGCGUGUGCAGCUCAACAUGCAGGGAGCAAGCCUUUUCUUCCCAAUCCUGGUGCAUCUUUUUAUUAAAAGGCAAUACAGCUGGGAAUUCCUUCAAUGAAAGGGCUGCCCACAUGGCACAGAAAACAUAACUAGAAGUUGAAUCUUCCACAAAGGACCUAAGUGUGACUGAGUGAUCUUUAAAACAUCACACUAUGAGAAACUGCUCCCGUCAUUCCAUCACCUAACCCAGCCCUAACAAGCUGAAAGUUGAGUGCAGUGUGUCUAUUCUCCAAACAGCUCUGGAGGGUCAAUUAUAUUACAAUUUAUCUUUUUCUUUUUCCUAUUAUCUGAUAGCUCCAUCUGUUACUUAUCCAUAAGAGAUGCAGAUUUUUGCAUAUUUCAUAGACAUUGGCAGCACUGGGUAUUUUCCUGUUUAUGAUGCUCUCUAGCAUUAUUUUUCUCACUCCAGUUCCUAGGCAGAAAUCUCUUUCUCCUAAUAACACAGGCAAGGCACACAAUAUUGAUCUGAUUGCGGCAUGGAACCCUCCUGAAAUAAGGAAAGCCGAUGACCUCAGACUGCACCGUCCAGCGAAAUUUAGGAUAGCCUUCGCAGGAGUCAGUCAAGUGUUUCACAAGAGAAGAAACUAUAAAAGGAGUGUUCUUCAGAUUCUUCUCUUGCUAUAAUCCAGUCGGGUCAUAUUUUAUUGGUGCUCAUUACCAAGAUAGAGAGUGAUAAGUGUAGAAACCAUGGAAACGUAUCACGGCCAAAUUGAUGUUGCCUCGAAACCCUCAUGCAGUGGAACACUCCACGUUCUCCGUUAAGCUGCCUCUUGGACUUUUGUCAGGAAGGCUCAUUCUAGGUUCAAGUUCAGCCACGAGCUUACUGGGAGGGUGAGCGUCCUAUCUGAAGUAAAAGACAUUACAAGUCACUAAGCUUUUCCCAGAACAAAAAAUACCGCAAAUUGCAUAUUGCCCUUGAUCAAUGUUAUGCAACUUAUUAAGUUGAAUUAUAAGGAAUACCUUAUACUUUGAGUUAUAAGGAAUAUCUAAAUAUUUUACUUCUCUUUCUCCUUUAAAUCCAAUUAUUUUCUUCCACUUUUCAAAACUUUAAAUAAGAAUAUGCAUUGUCAAUAUAAUUAUAUCCAUGAAAAUGUUAGAUUUCAAUUUUCUACAUCUGAUAAAAAUAAAUAAAUCUCAGUAGGUCAUUAUUCUGUGAGUUCCCCAAACCUAUGAACACGUGAAGUCACAUCCCACUUCAAAGACACCACCAAAAAGGCUAGAUCAAGGAUUUCCCCCUUAUAUAUAGUCCUGAAAGUUAAUCUAUUUCUUAACUAAUCUAUGAGAUCAGAAUAUAGUAUUAAAUAAACAUAAACUUUCAGGUAGUUUACAUAUAAAUGAUGGUUUUAAAAUUUUGAUGACAAUUUUUGUCAGAAUCAACUAUGCAAGGUUUCUGCAGUGUAAGUGAAUAAGAGUAGGAGUUUUCAAAAUAAACCAUCAAAUAUUUAUUGGCUGUGUACAAGCUACUUCUUAUUCAGGCGAUGCCACUCCAGUGGGAUGUACGACAAAGCUAGAAUUGAAGAGUCUUGUCUAGCACACAGGUCCCAUUGAAUAUCCCCAUCCUGUCUCAGCAUCCCCUCUUGUAAGAUGUGCCAAUCUGCCCUGAUUACAGCCCGAUAAUCAGAAGAUGGAUUCUUCUGAUGAUGGUUGUCCCAAUCUGAGGCUGAGAUUUGAAUCAUCACUUAAGUCUUGCUUGUAUAAAUACAGUUGAGACGGAGUUUCAUCUUUGUAUUUUAAUAACAUCUGUCUUUGAAAAAUAGUUACAAAAGGAAUGCAUGAUCAGUACAGAUAACUUCAAAAACAGAAAAAUCACAGAGAAGCUGCAAAAGUUACCUACCAUUGGCACUGAUAUAUAAUCAUUUACAUUUUGCUGUUUGCUAGUUUUUUAUUUGUUUACACAUUGCUUUAGAAAAAUAGUAUCAUAUUCUUACAUCCUGCAUUUUACUACUUGGCUCCGUAUUGUGAAUAGUUUCUUUUAUCACUAAGUAUUUUCUGUAACACUUUCAAUGACUAAAUAGAAAUCUACAGCAAAUAUGUAACAGAAUUUAUAUAAUUCCCUACUUAAAGAACUUUUAGAUUUCCUUAAAUUGUACCUUUUAUAAAUUAUGCUGAUUGAAUAUAUUUAACUUUCACUCCAUCUUUAAUUAUUUACUUAGGAUAGAUCCCUAAAACUGGUAGGUUGAAAUGUGCGGACAUUUUAAAGGCCUAAAAAAUCUAUUUUCAAAUUGCCUUUUAAAAGUUUAUUUCAAUUCACUUACUCCUCAGGAAUGCAUGAAAGUGCUCAAUGCCUGACACUCUAGCCAGCCCUAGGAGUUAUGAAUCCUUUUAUCUUUAGGAAUCUCCCUGAUGUUUCAGUUUGCAUUUCUUUAUUAUUGAUGAUCUUCAACAUUUUUCAUAGUGUGGUGUUUUUAAAAAUCACUUGCGUGAAUUGCCUGUCAUACCUUUUCCUUUUUAAAAUAUGUAGAUAUUGAUCUUUUCCUUAUAGAUCUGUAGGAGUCGUCCAUUCGUUCAACACUGACACAUGUUCCCCAGCAUGACAUUUCCCCUUUAAUUCUGUUAAUCUUUUACUGUCGAGGUACAAAAAUCUUCAUUUUAGCUCAUCAAAUCUCAUUUUUCCUUUAUUAUUUCUAUCUUCUGUUUUAUUCUUCUAAAGACCCUCCUGAACCCAAGAUACUUGUUCAUAUUUCUGGAAGUUCUUUUACGUUUUCAUUUGCAUUUAGUUUUUAAAUUCGUUUUGGCAUAUAGGAAAGGACAGUGUUGUCUACCAUAUUUUGCAUCGUCGUGUGCAUAGAAAAUGAUUAUUUUCAUGGCACUCUGGAGUCAACAGAUGAGGCUGCUCAAGGCCAGAAUUUAUCAGCCACCCUAGUCCCUGAGGGGUCACAUCUCAGCCUGCGGCCCACUCUGGGCAUAUGGGCAUACCAUUGGCACUUCUGGUAUAAGGGAAGAAAAUACAUGACCUUUUAAUGAAUAAUUAACCAAUCAUCCAGUUUUGAAUACUUCAUUCUUUUCUCCACUCAUUUGAAAUCCCAUCUUCAUUAUAUACUAAAAACUCCUUUACGUGGGUCUUUUUCUGGUGUUUCUACUCUGCUUCAUUCAUCUGAGUGCCUGUCUUGACACUGAUACCACACCAUUUCACAUUUUUUUUUAGCUUUGUAAUAUGUUCAAAUCUUUGGCAAUGCAAGUCCCAUGUUACAAUUAUCUUUCAAAAAUGGCAAUUCUCACCUGCUUAUCCUUCCAAAUGAACUUUAGAAAAUUUUUUUAAAAUUCAAGUGUUUAAAGGGGAUUGCAUUAAAUGUAAGCAUCAUUUUGGAGAAAAUUAAUAUUUUGCUUUUUCAUUUGGAAGACAUUUAUUCAAAUUAUCCAUGUGAUUCUUACUGAAGUUUUGUCAUUCUCUCCAUUUGUGUAGACACUUCUUUUAAGGUCUUUCCUGUGGAUUUAUUUUUGUUGCUAUUUUUAAUGGUAUCUUUUCCCCGUUAUCUUGUCUAGGUGAUUGUUAUUGGCAUGAAGAAAAACUAUACACAUUUAAUUUGUAUACAGUCACCAGACCAUUAAAUCUGGUCCAUCUGCUUUGCCAUAUUCCAUCUGUAGGGACAUUAAUAUGGAGGAAAAUAUCAUCCUCUGCUAAUAGUCUUGGGAAUAUGCAACAUAAACUCAGAGUAGAAUUCCACAUUAUUUGAGUGGCUCCUUAUUUUUUAAAAACAUAUUUGUAUAAAAGGCAUUCCAUUGAAAGACAGAAUCGGAAUAUUCUCUUCAUUUUCUCAAAUUGAUUUUAGCUUUUAGAUCUAAAAAUGUUACUAAGAUACAUUCUUAAAAAAACAGGUUUGAAGACUGAAAUAUUCAGCAUAGUCACUUUAGAAUUUACAGGCAUUUAGAUUUUUAUAAAUCUCCCUGCUUGUUAAAUUUCCCCUAAUUAUUUCCACACUAAAAAGUAAUUUCAUGAACGAUGUUUGUGAUGGCAAUAGAGAUAAUAAUGAGAGGCAAAUAGGUGGCUCUGUGAGCCAGUCUCCUUUUCCUACAGUGAUAUCAAAAGUUACAAAUCAAAGAUUUUAAGGAAACCUUUCAAAAGACAAAAUCAAUUCCUCAAAUCAGGAAGCAAAUGACUAAGUGACUUCUUCCAAAUAACUAAGUUACUUCUUCCAAAAUUGUGCCUAAAGAAAGAGGUUGAGAAGGUUGUGAGAAGCCGCCUCUGCAGAUGGCGAAUAUUUCCCAGGUCUGCAGACAGCAUGUCUUAGAGAAGGGAAGAGAAAUCAGCAGAUCCUGACUUUGCUCGAGACUAGACUAAACGGGUUUUUAAACCAGUAACACUCAGCUACCUCAGGUGCAUGAAAACUGUUCUCAGGGUUUACUGAAUUGCUGGUUAAUAACCAGGAACUAAAUUAGGUCUAUAAUUUCAGAUGCUGUUUUGUAAUGACUCAUUUUUCUGUCAAUAAAAUGGACAGCAGAGACCAGCACAGCUCCUUUGCCUGCCUCUGAUCCGCCUUGUUGAGUCACAUGACACAGUGGAGUGUUGCCAGAUAUAGGCUGUCACUCUCCACUGGCGUUUUCACGGAAAUGAGAUUAGAGAAAUGCAGCCUGCACAAACCCAGGCAGGUUUUCAGCAGACAUGAGGGAUGGCAUCAAUCAUUCACCAGAAGGUCUCACGUAGGACAUUUUCAUUGAUAGUGCAGACUUUAUUUAUGCGUUAAAAGAUGAAGUAAGCCCCUUUUCUGGUAAAGAUACACUCCUCCACUUUAAGAAGAGGAAAAUGAAGAGGCCCAGAGAAAACUACGAGAAGUUAAGAUUUUAGAGUUUGAAAGCAUUUUCCCAGAGUUGGUGCCAAGAGAUCUGUAUUCUAAAACUUGGACCCAUGCUGACUCAUCGCCUAACUGAGAGCUUUGAGGAUUAAUAGAAUUAAGAAAAGGAUUCAUUUACAAAGUCACCAACAGAAGAAGUGGAAUUCAAGAGAAUCAUGACCCAAAGGGGACCCAGACUGAGUAUAUUCCUCUUGUCUCUUUCCUAUAUCCAUUCCAGCUUUAAGGAUAUGAAGUAGGCACAGCAAAAGAAAAAAAUAUCCUGGAAUUCUGGAGUCUUCAUCCUAAAAAUCAAGACACACACUGGCCACUAGUUAAGUUGAGCAGCUGGUUUGGCAGAAAUAUCUUUAAUGGUGUAUAAUUAACUGUGCACACAAUUCAGACCCCUCAGGCAACUUCCAAAUAAAUGUUCAUCAUUUCCACAGGUGCUAAAACCUAUUACCUUGGGGAGAAAAGCACUAAGAAAAAAUAAUCUUGAUUUUGCGUUACUAAAUCAGCACUCAGAUAAAACAUUUGCUCUAUUUUGGUAUUGAUUGAGAAAGGUUAAUAUUCUGGAUAUUGUUUUUUUUUUCAAACUACUGAUUUCUUCCUCUUAAUUCUGUAAAAUAUUUAACAUGCAACAGCAUGGGAUGUCCCUUUUGGAGAACAGAACAACCUUGUGGAGCAGCCAAUUACUGCCACUCCUGGCAUUUUUACCACACUCUGCCCUUUUUGUGCUUUAUGUCUUUUCAGAAACUACUUUUUUCUUAGGGCAAUGUAACUAGACCCAAGGUAUAUUUAAAUAACCAUAAUGAGGGCCUAUCAUGAUUGAGGAAAAGUGAACAAGCCUAAUAGAGGAAAAGGUCAUCAACACAAAACGAGCAUAGAUGUGGCAGCUGCCACGGUGCUGGGUAUAGUACUUUGAAUUAUUUACACAGUAAACAUUUUAUUUUGAAAAAUCUGGAAGAGUAGUAGCAUAAAAACUCAUAUACUCUUCACUUAUAUUCACUGAUUGCUAAUAUUUUGCCCCAUUUGUACACUCUCUAUAAAUAUCUUUAUCUAUAUAACAUGUAUAAUAGAUUUAUAGAGAGAGAGAGAUAGGGAAAGAUAUCUAGAGAGAGAAAAAGUGAGAAAGAGAGACAUACAUAUAUGUGUGUGUAUAUCACACAUAUACAUAUAUAUGUCUCUCGUGCAUAUAUGAGACUACACAUAGAGAGAUACACACACAUAUAUGCACAUUAUAUAACAUGUAUGUGUAUAUAUAUAUAUACACAUGGCAUAUAUAUGGUGAAUUUUAAAGUAAGGUGUAGACAUCAUGACACUUUACCUCUAAAUAUUUCAGCAUGGAUCUCCCCAAACCAAGGAUGGUCUUCCAUAAAACCUUUGUACCAUUAUCACUCUUAUUAUUGGUGACAUUCAGUUUGAUCUCUUGUAUACGUCUCAGUUACACGAUCACUUGCCAUUUCUCAAUUGGAAAGACACAUUUUCCCUUAUAAUUCAAAAGUAAUAUGCGGGGUGCUACUUUUAGAAUUUCUGUUUCUUCAACAAUGCUUCACCUAACUACUUUAGUAUUCAUUGGUAACCCCGAAUCAAUUAUUACAAAAAUAUUAUUCCCUCUUUACUGAUGAAGAAGCCAAGUUGUACCUUCUUCAUAUUAACUAGCUAGAAUAUGGCUGAGGCAGGCUUCAAAUCCAGUCAGGGCCUUGGACUCACCAUCAGCUGCCCUCUGGGGUCAUGCUGCCCCAUUGAGAUUAUUAUAAGAUUGAUCUCAGUCUCUAAACAACAACCCAGAGAAAAUCCAUUGCCUUUCUUAAGAUUCUUGUGACUUCCUCUGGAACUUUGGUUCUCAUGGAUUCUUCAGGUUCCAGCUUCUUGGCUUUGAUGAAUCAGUGUUUCCUGUUCCACACUAACUCACACACUGACCUCAGGUCUUUCCCUUGAUUUCUAGACAUAAAAGAGCCCCUGUGUGGGUCGCAGACUUUACUAAAGUUUUGUAGAGGUGUGAAAGGAAAGGAAAAGAUUUGCUUUGCAUCUUCACCAAAAAUCUAGAAUUGAAUACUAGACAUUUCUAUUCUUAAAAGUCAUUUGUCUUGCCCUCAAGUUCCCAGCCUCGCCCACCUCAGCUUCUCUGUAUUCUUUCUUUUAUGAACAAAAAGAUUAACUUCCUCAUAUAUUUUUAUGGAGAACAUUCAUCACUUCCCAACCCUUAUGUUGAGCCCAAGGUCCCGGGCUCUGCCAGUGCUGCCCUGAAAGAGGACACUUCGAGAUGCCUCCACUUAGCUUCCUGAGGCCCGUCGAUACCCCCGCCUGCUCCCCUCUCCUCCCACUGCUCACAUCUCUAUUUUUUCCAACCACCGACUGCUUCCCAGCUUUGAAAAAGUUUUGUGUCCUGUGGACGGGACUGUGCCAGAGUUAAUAAAAGUUUCGCAACCGCUGUGCCUCUCUGUUGACACCAUCUCAAGAGAAAUAAUUCAGACCAGAAUUGUUCCUAAGAAGAAAAGCCAAAGAAAAUUAAGCUAAAUACAGGGCACUCAUCUUUUGAAGACCUUCUCUCCUCUGCCAGGAUCCAGAUGAACUAUUUCUCCCCUCGGUGCCCUCUCCACCACAAUCAUUGUUAUAAUCUCUUGUGGACAGACCUGCUCCAUUUUUAUCUUCAUCCAGCUUCCAGAAAUUAUGUGGAUUAUAAGGAAAUGGCAGAAAGGGCAUGGUGACAAAGUCCAGGGUCAGCCACGGGGAUGGCUUGAAAGAUUGGAGGGACAAUAUAAGGAAGUGUCAGUGGUUUUUUGAAGGGGAAUUUCAGAAAAGGAAAUAAGAAUAAGCAGACGUAGCAUAAAGCUAGUUUGCUUUUGGUCACAAAAUUCAAAUGGUUCUAGGAAAUCUUAGGCAAGCCAGUUGUUUGUACUUAAGGAAGGUUAUAUUUUCUUUCUAGGAGUAGCAAAUAAAACAAAUUAUGAACAUUUUCCAAAAAAUUCAAAGGAAUCUGUUAUCCUGAUAAAAAGAUCCAAUUUCUUUUUAUACAUUUCCUUUAUGCAUUUAUACAUUCUUAUCAAAUUAUGAUUGCUAUGAAAUGAUAGAUAGUAGUCACAAUUUUUUAAUGCUUGAUAUCAGGUAGACAUUAUUAAGUACUUCACUUGGAUUACUUCUAUUUUAUAGAUGAUGAAACUAAAAUUUAAAGAAACAAAACGAUUUGCCCAAGUUUCCAAAUUUAUAUAAUUAGUAAGUGCCGGAACCGUACAAACCUCCACAGCCUACUCAAGACUCUUUACUCUGAAGCUGAAUUAGCCAACACAGGAAAACUCCAAAAGAAAGAUUUGGGUCCUUGCGGGAUCAAGAGUUCCACAAUCUUAAUAGCCUAUCUGUGGCGCUACCAGAUCCUCUAAGAUUAACUUCUGGUUAAUUUCAUCUGUAUCACUUUUAGGCAAACCAAAUAAAAAUGUGCAAAAAACGAUCACGAAGAAAAGGCAGUGACGUGUUGCUGCUUCUAGGAAGCUAGGAAGCUGGCCAGCUCUUCUUCCAUAGCCAUGAAUGCAUUUGACCAAAAAAGAUUCACAUGCUGGGUCACAGGGACAAGCGACUAAAGAUUGUUUGCUGGAGAGAGAGAGAAUUGCAAACCGGCCUGACGGUGAAAAUGCUCACUUUGAGGAGGUCCCCUUAUGAUCUGGGUAGAAGAAGAAGAGCGAGCUCUAAGAAAAGCAAAGUUGGCUUUGUCUCCCUGGAGGGAAGGAUAUGGGGAGCUCCCUGGUGCUAUCCACAGGUGGCGGAGAGUCUGGCGUUGUAGCUGGAGCAGUAAAGUGGAAAUGCAUGUGGGGCUCUUCGUUGUUUCCAGAUCCCUGCUUCGUUUAAGGCUUCUGGCGGGAUCAGUGGUCAGAAAUAGAACCUUGGAGAAUCACGGCCUUUCACCUUGCAUUAAUUCCUCUGUCUGCCCAACAACAGAAACAACACUGCACUGCUCAGGAGCCCUACCGCGGAUAAAUUAGCUAACGUCUAUAGAGGAUGAUGACGACGAAAACAGUGCUUGUACAAUUGUCGUGAAUAAUGAACCCAUUAGCUGUUCAUCGCUACUCCAAACAUAUGUAUUAAAGCUUAUCGACUAUGAAAUCUGUGACAUUUUUCUAGACAAUGGUUCAGUUGAAAAGGAGGCCCUCGUGAAAAAUGAUCUAUUAGCAUUAAAUAAGAUUUUAAAAUAAUUUUCGUAUUUCAAACAAUUAACUGUAUUUUACAUAGUCACUCAUUAUCUGCCAGGUCAUUCUGAGCAUUUCACAAAAGGAUUUCAAAUAGGACCAGAUUUUUUUUUUUUCAAUCUAACUAGCAAACGCCCUUUCUUCUUGAAAU